rnacentral:rRNA from 1 species
GAUGAACGCUGGCGGCGUGCCUAAUACAUGCAAGUCGAGCGAACGGACGAGAAGCUUGCUUCUCUGAUGUUAGCGGCGGACGGGUGAGUAACACGUGGAUAACCUACCUAUAAGACUGGGAUAACUUCGGGAAACCGGAGCUAAUACCGGAUAAUAUUUUGAACCGCAUGGUUCAAAAGUGAAAGACGGUCUUGCUGUCACUUAUAGAUGGAUCCGCGCUGCAUUAGCUAGUUGGUAAGGAAACGGCUUACCAAGGCAACGAUGCAUAGCCGGCCUGAGAGGGUGAUCGGCCAGACUGGAACUGAGACACGGUCCAGACUCCUACGGGAGGCAGCAGUAGGGAAUCUUCCGCAAUGGGCGAAAGCCUGACGGAGCAACGCCGCGUGAGUGAUGAAGGUCUUCGGAUCGUAAAACUCUGUUAUUAGGGAAGAACAUAUGUGUAAGUAACUGUGCACAGCUUGACGGUACCUAGUCAGAAAGCCACGGCUAACUACGUG